UUAUUUUACUUUCCCACUUUGCAAACUGGUAGAAAUAUUUCCUGUGCUGUUGCAAGCCAGCAGCAGACUGAUUUGCAAAGYAAGCUGUCUUUGUGAAGACAGCUCAAUUCUUAGAAAUAUCACAAACAGGAAAAUGGGAUAAAAUAAGCAAACAACAUUUCCAUCAUUCCAGUUCCAUGAYGGUCUUUCUCCUGCGGGCAUCCAAGCACAACUCAAAGCUCAACUGAUUACAUGUAGGCAUCUACUUCAGGGAAGUGUAUGGACCUGACGAUGAGGUUGUCACAGAUGUCACUAUGGAUCAAUCUGGGGCUCUUCUCCAUCUUGCACAAGUAGCCUUUUUGUUCUUUCUGAAAACGGUAGACUUGCUCAGUCUGCCUUGUGCGCACAAGACAUUGGAUUCUACUAUUUUUUAGACAGAAGUCACCUAUUCUAAGACUCAAGCUCACUAAAGUUUUUCAAAGUAACCAGGAACUCUCAAAAGGAAGUGGAAAGAAGUCCAAAAAGAAGAGAAGAUUGCUGCGUGAGGUGAGGUGCUGUUUAUUCCCAAUGAAGGAGGUGACUCCUGACCAAGGCAAGAACAACCUAAUAGGUAAGAAGGGGAGGAAAGAAGAUCURUUGUUCCAUUUUACAGAUAAGAAACUGAGGCACAGAGAUUAAAAGACACUGGCUACUUUCUACUAGUAAACUAAACAGUGACAGAGAUGGUUUUCUGGAACCAAGAUAAACUAGCAGGGCUUUGUCAUGUCCAGACUAUUAAACACUCUAACCUCCAAAACUGGUGUCUGAAUUAAAUUCUCUGGCCUACUCUGAGU
rnacentral:lncRNA from 1 species